CUUCGAAUCGUAGUGUAAGGAAGACUGUUGAAGGUUGUGCUUUUGUGGAGCUGGAGUUCAUCGGAAGUUCUACAGUGCUUGCGCCAGAAAAACGUCGGUGCCUCGGUACCUUUGAGACGAAGGAGCGUUGGCCAAGUCUUUUUGAAAGGCUAUGCGGAUUCUGGAGGCAUCCCUACAUCAAGCAGGAACCUGCUGCACUGCUGGAAGCUGGACAGCACGACAAUAAAGCACGUGAUCUGUGUGCUUUCUCAAAGGUAGACAUCGGCGACGGUGUAUAUGUUGAAAAGUGCCUGCUGAAGAGGCUGCGCCUGGAUGCUAACAACUCAGGCUUUCAGUUCGCGGGGGGCCUCCUUAAGGCUCCUUUUACAAAAGAAGAGGUUGAAGGGAGGCGCUACACAUGGAUGCGCAGCGAUUGUUUGUGACAUCGUCACUGCUGGCAGGCCUGGCCUGCCUUUUCGCUUCGUUCUGGGUCUUCCACGUUAUCUACUCGAAAAGGCCCACAGGGUUUUGACAUUUAUUGAGCACUGCUUUCUGGAUUUGAGCUACACAAGGCUGCAGGUGAAAGCAUUGGAUUUAGUCAAUAUUUACAAGAACUAUUGCUAGGCAAAAAAAUUUUCAGAUGCAUAUCCUCAAGAAAGUUUCUGUAAAAAUUAUUUUGCCUAACAAAAGCACUCGUGGG